GGUAAAAUGGCUGAGUGGAAGCAUUGAACUGUCAGUUCAAAGACAGAGACUAGAUAUCUCUUUUUAAUCA
rnacentral:tRNA from 1 species